CCCUUAGAUGUCCUGGGCCGCACGCGCGUUACACUGAUGCAUUCAACGAGCUUAUAACCUUGGCCGAGAGGCCUGGGCAAUCUUGUUAACGUGCAUCGUGAUAGGGAUAGAUUAUUGAAAUUAUUAAUCUUGAACGAGGAAUUCCUAGUAAGCACAAGUCAUCAGCUUGUGUUGAUUACGUCCCUGCCCUUUGUACACACCGCCCGUCGCUCCUACCGAUUGAAUGUUCCGGUGAGCUCUUCGGACUGCGCGGUCUGCAGUUUCUGCGUUCCGUGCGGAAAGUUGUGCAAACCUUAACAUUUAGAGGAAGGAGAAGUCGUAACA
rnacentral:rRNA from 1 species